rnacentral:rRNA from 1 species
GGAUGGUCGGCCACACUGGGGCUGAGACACUGCCCAGACUCCUACGGGAGGCUGCAGUCGAGGAUCUUCCGCAAUGGACGCAAGUCUGACGGAGCGACGCCGCGUGCGGGAGGAAGGCUUUCGGGUUGUAAACCGCUGUCACCUGUUACGAAUCGCCGGGGUGCGAAUAGCGCCCCGUCGUGACGAAGGCAGGAGAGGAAGCCACGGCUAACUUCGUGCCAGCAGCCGCGGCAAUACGAAGGUGGCAAGCGUUGUUCGGAAUCACUGGGCAUAAAGCGCAUGUAGGCGGCUGGGUCAGUCGGGUGUGAAAGCCCUCAGCUCAACUGAGGAACGGCACCCGAUACUGCCUUGCUUGAGGCCUGGAGGGGAGAACGGAAUUCCCGGUGGAGCGGUGAAAUGCGUAGAUAUCGGGAGGAACUCCGGUGGCGAAGGCGGUUCUCUGGACAGGUUCUGACGCUGAGACGCGAAAGCUAGGGGAGCAAACGGGAUUAGAUACCCCGGUAGUCCUAGCCGUAAACGAUGGGUGCUAGGUAGUGGUGGUUCCUAUUCCUACACUGCCGGAGCUAAUGUUUUAAGCACCCCGCCUGGGGAGUACGGCCGCAAGGCUAAAACUCAAAGGAAUUGACGGGGGCUCACACAAGCGGUGGAGCAUGUUGCUUAAUUCGAAACAACGCGAAGAACCUUACCCGGGUUUGACAUGCUGGUAUUAGCGCGGGGAAACCAUGCGUGACCCUUUCACGAGGGAGCCAGUACAGGUGUUGCAUGGCUGUCGUCAGCUCGUGUCGUGAGAUGUUGGGUUAAGUCCCGUAACGAGCGAAACCCUUGCCACUAGUUGCUACAGGUCAUGCUGAGAACUCUAGUGGGACUGCCGGUGUCAAACCGGAGGAAGGUGGGGACGACGUCAAGUCAUCAUGGCCCUUACGCCCGGGGCUGCAAACGUGCUACAAUGGCGGGUACAAAGGGUUGCGAGGCCGUGAGGCUGAGCCAAUCCCAAAAAGCCCGUCCCAGUCCGGAUUGGAGGCUGAAACUCGCCUCCAUGAAGUCGGAAUCGCUAGUAAUCGCAGAUCAGCCACGCUGCGGUGAAUAUGUUCCUGAGCCUUGUACACACCGCCCGUCAAGCCAUGGGAGCCGGGAGUGCCCGAAGUCGCGAUCCCAACCGCAAGGAGGGUAGCGCCGAAGGCAAGCUCGGUGACUGGGACUAAGUCGUAACAAGGUA